rnacentral:rRNA from 1 species
AUUGAACGCUGGCGGCAGGCCUAACACAUGCAAGUCGAACGGUAACAGGAAACAGCUUGCUGUUUCGCUGACGAGUGGCGGACGGGUGAGUAAUGUCUGGGAAACUGCCUGAUGGAGGGGGAUAACUACUGGAAACGGUAGCUAAUACCGCAUAACGUCGCAAGACCAAAGAGGGGGACCCUCGGGCCUCUUGCCAUCGGAUGUGCCCAGAUGGGAUUAGCUUGUUGGUGGGGUAACGGCUCACCAAGGCGACGAUCCCUAGCUGGUCUGAGAGGAUGACCAGCCACACUGGAAAUGAGACACGGUCCAGACUCCUACGGGAGGCAGCAGUGGGGAAUAUUGCACAAUGGGCGCAAGCCUGAUGCAGCCAUGCCGCGUGUAUGAAGAAGGCCUUCGGGUUGUAAAGUACUUUCAGCGGGGAGGAAGGGAGUAAAGUUAAUACCUUUGCUCAUUGACGUUACCCGCAGAAGAAGCACCGGCUAACUCCGUG